AUGAGAAGUUUCAACGGAGAAAGUUGUCUCGCGGCGGGGUGUGUCGGCCGAUUUGAGGAGCACCGCGGAUCUGUAGGAUAUCAGAAUCGCCAGUCACGGAGUUGUAGUCGACCGGUGAUUGUCAUGGUGAUGGUUGCGACAAUUUUGGACGCUGGUAGUGUUCGACGAAAGCGAGAGCAGCAACAAUUUGUGAACCUUGGUUUGUUGGCUUCUUGGCGGCUUAAUUUGGAGAGGGAUUGA